rfam:Nematocida sp. JTm2807 7, whole genome shotgun sequence.
AUGUGCGGCCAUAUGCUCGGGUAAGCACCGGAUCCCGUUUCGAUCUCCGAAGUUAAGCCCGUGACAGCCUUGAUAGUACUGCGAAGGGAGACCGCGUGGGAACACAAGGUGCUGCAUUUU